rnacentral:rRNA from 1 species
AUUGCCCUAGUAACGGCGAGUGAAGCGGCAACAGCUCAAAUUUGAAAUCUGGCCCUCGGGUCCGAGUUGUAAUUUGUAGAGGAUGCUUUUGGUGCGGUACCUUCCGAGUUCCCUGGAACGGGACGCCAUAGAGGGUGAGAGCCCCGUCUGGUUGGAUGCCAAUCCUCUGUAAAGCUCCUUCGACGAGUCGAGUAGUUUGGGAAUGCUGCUCUAAAUGGGAGGUAUAUGUCUUCUAAAGCUAAAUACCGGCCAGAGACCGAUAGCGCACAAGUAGAGUGAUCGAAAGAUGAAAAGCACUUUGAAAAGAGAGUUAAAAAGUACGUGAAAUUGUUGAAAGGGAAGCGCUUAUGACCAGACUUGGGCUUGGUUGAUCAUCCUGGGUUCUCCCUGGUGCACUCUUCCAGUUCAGGCCAGCAUCAGUUUGCUUCGGGGGAUAAAGGUUUCGGGAAUGUGGCUCCCUCGGGAGUGUUAUAGCCCGUUUCGUAAUACCCUGGGACAGACUGAGGUUCGCGCAUCUGCAAGGAUGCUGGCGUAAUGGUCAUCAGCGACCCGUCUUGAAACACGGACCAAGGAGUCGUCUUCGUAUGCGAGUGUUCGGGUGUUAAACCCCUACGCGUAAUGAAAGUGAACGCAGGUGAGAGCUUCGGCGCAUCAUCGACCGAUCCUGAUGUUCUCGGAUGGAUUUGAGUAAGAGCAUACGGGGCCGGACCCGAAAGAAGGUGAACUAUGCCUGUAUAGGGUGAAGCCAGAGGAAACUCUGGUGGAGGCUCGCAGCGGUUCUGACGUGCAAAUCGAUCGUCAAAUAUGGGCAUGGGGGCGAAAGACUAAU